rnacentral:rRNA from 1 species
UACAGAGGGUGCAAGCGUUGUUCGGAAUCAUUGGGCGUAAAGCGCGUGUAGGCGGUUUUCUAAGUCUGAUGUGAAAUCCCUUGGCUCAACCAAGGACGUGCAUUGGAUACUGGAUGACUAGAGGACGAGAGAGGUGAAUGGAAUUCCCGGUGUAGGAGUGAAAUCCGUAGAUAUCGGGAGGAACACCAGAGGCGAAGGCGGUUCACUGGCUCGUUACUGACGCUGAGACGCGAAAGCGUGGGGAGCAAACAGG